rnacentral:lncRNA from 1 species
GAAUUCGACCAGGUUUGUGGAUUUAUAAUAUUUUCAGGAUUACAAGGCUUGGUCCAUUUACCAAACGACAAUAUAAGAUCGUCGAAGACACGUAUGCAUCUGAGACACGUAGCAAGACAUGCGUCGAACAAGCUAUUCGUCGCUGUUAUUUCUAGUGUAUUAUAAAUAGGAGUUAUGUAUAGGAAUUCACUAUCACAAAAUCAUUCACAAAAUACCUUAAGAAAUUUGAAGUAUCCAUGUUAACGUGAGAAAAGAGUCUCAUAAGGCCAAUGUUCGAUUAUGUGUACUAUUUCCUUUAUGUCAUUUUAACCGAAUGUAGUUUCCCUUUUCAAAUUGUUUAUGUUUACGUUUACUUGCCUUUAUCUUCAACACUGUGCACUUUUACUUUAGUAU